UCCCGCCCCCUCCAGGUGACGUUUAACACGAAACAAACCAGAAACAGUUGAGUGCUGCACGUUUAGAAACUAGUUCAACUAAAUUAAGUGUUAGAAGAUAACUCUGUUCAUGAAUUAUAAGCGUAAUACACAUAAACGACACUUAUGUAAAGUAAAAUAGGUGAUUCGAGGACCUGUGCGCCAGGAGUUGAUCGCUUUUUGGCAGCUUCUUGGUUUUGAGAUUCCCUGGAGAUUUUGGAUUCUCCUUGACGAAGGAGAUGUCGAGCCAACCUAGAACCCGAUCACCUCUUUACCCAGAGGAGUUGGACCAAGUCCACUUUUUGCCCCGAGGAGGAGAGGACACCACCCAUUCCUUCAUUCCCAUCACUUCAGUACAUCAGUGGGGAAGAAGGAGGCAGAAGGAGAGAAAGGCUCGAUCCAGUGAAAGACGGCAGACAGUGAAGGAGGUGAUGGAGGAGGAGAGCGAUAUUUGUGACUCUCUAGCCUGAUUAAGACCACUCCAGUCUGGGUGGUGCUACUUCACACCAGCAGCAGUGGCCUUCAACGGAAGAGGGAGGACUGGAGUGAAAACACUUGAGGAGCAGCUGGAGAACCACAUGGAGGCUCAUCAGAAGCAGGUCAGCCGCCUCUGAGGAAAGAUAUAAGACAAGCAGAGGAUGCUGGACGAACUCAGUUCUCCCUGCCCCCCCAGCCUCUUCAUCGCCUCUCAUGUAGGAAGAAAAGAUGUUUCUUUGUAAGGACUCACUGGCACUACUUCCACUGACUCACGCAGCUGCCCCAAUAGAGCUCUCCUCCCUCUGAUUUACAGCCAGUAGUGGUAUUAUAGGUUUCUAGUUGUUUUCCAGAGUUAUUUACUGGCACUUUCAAUCCAUCGGCCUGUGUUUCUGCAAUUUGUGGAGAGAUGUUUUUACUGUUUUAACCCUGAUAUUUGGAUUUGCUACCCAUCCAGAAGAAGGCUCAGGCUGCUAUGUCCUCUCGCCUGUUUUGUUGGUUGCUGGUUCCUAAAAUUACGACUUUAUUCUCGUAAUAUUACGACUUUUUUCUUGUUAAGUUACAUUUCGUAAUAGAACAUUUACUCUUUGGCCCUCACUGCAUUAGACUUAUAU